AACGAACGCUGGCGGCGCGCCUAAUACAUGCAAGUCGAGCGAGAAGACGUAGCAAUACGUUUGUAAAGCGGCGAACGGGUGAGGAAUACAUGGGUGACCUACCCUCGAGUGGGGAAUAACUAGCCGAAAGGUUAGCUAAUACCGCAUACGAUUCCUGGAUUGCGGUUCGGGAAGGAAAGCGAUACCGUGGGUAUCGCGCUCAUGGAUGGGCUCAUGUCCUAUCAGCUUGUGGUGAGGUAACGGCUCACCAAGGCUUCGACGGGUAGCUGGUCUGAGAGGACGAUCAGCCACACUGGCACUGCGACACGGGCCAGACUCCUACGGGAGGCAGCAGUAAGG
rnacentral:rRNA from 1 species